UACGGAGGGGGCUAGCGUUGUUCGGAAUUAUUGGGCGUAAAGAGCUCGUAGGCGGUUUGUCGCGUCGGCUGUGAAAACCUGAGGCUCAACCUCGGGCCUGCAGUCGAUACGGGCAAACUAGAGUUCGGUAGGGGAGACUGGAAUUCCUGGUGUAGCGGUGGAAUGCGCAGAUAUCAGGAGGAACACCAAUGGCGAAGGCAGGUCUCUGGGCCGAAACUGACGCUGAGGAGCGAAAGCGUGGGGAGCGAACAGG
rnacentral:rRNA from 1 species